rnacentral:rRNA from 1 species
UUAUCCAACUCAUUGACCAGUAAAGUAUUUGUUUAUUACACAGGCUCGGCCUUACAACAACAAACAAAGUUUGACCUCAAAUCAGGUAGGACUACCCGCUGAACUUAAGCAUAUCAAUAAGCGGAGGAAAAGAAACCAACAGGGAUUGCCUUAGUAACGGCGAGUGAAGCGGCAAAAGCUCAAAUUUGAAAUCUAGCACUUUCAGUGUUCGAGUUGUAAUUUGAAGAAGGUAACUUUGGAAUUGGCUCUUGUCUAUGUUCCUUGGAACAGGACGUCACAGAGGGUGAGAAUCCCGUGCGAUGAGAUGUCCAAUUCUAUGUAAAGUGCUUUCGAAGAGUCGAGUUGUUUGGGAAUGCAGCUCUAAGUGGGUGGUAAAUUCCAUCUAAAGCUAAAUAUUGGCGAGAGACCGAUAGCGAACAAGUACAGUGAUGGAAAGAUGAAAAGAACUUUGAAAAGAGAGUGAAAAAGUACGUGAAAUUGUUGAAAGGGAAGGGCUUGAGAUCAGACUUGGUAUUUUGUGUUCCUUAUCCUUCUUGGAUUAGGUUCCUCACAGCUUACCGGGCCAGCAUCGGUUUGGAUGGCAGGAUAAUGACAUUGGAAUGUAGCUUUGCUUCGGUGAAGUGUUAUAGACUUUGUUGAUACUGCCUAUCUAGACCGAGGACUGCGUCUUUGACUAGGAUGCUGGCGUAAUGAUCUUAAGCCGCCCGUCUUGAAACACGGACCAAGGAGUCUAACGUCUAUGCGAGUGUUUGGG